AGUCGAACGCUUCUUUCCUCCCGAGUGCUUGCACUCAAUUGGAAAGAGGAGUGGCGGACGGGUGAGUAACACGUGGGUAACCUACCCAUCAGAGGGGGAUAACACUUGGAAACAGGUGCUAAUACCGCAUAACAGUUUAUGCCGCAUGGCAUAAGAGUGAAAGGCGCUUUCGGGUGUCGCUGAUGGAUGGACCCGCGGUGCAUUAGCUAGUUGGUGAGGUAACGGCUCACCAAGGCCACGAUGCAUAGCCGACCUGAGAGGGUGAUCGGCCACACUGGGACUGAGACACGGCCCAGACUCCUACGGGAGGCAGCAGUAGGGAAUCUUUGGCAAUGGACGAAAGUCUGACCGAGCAACGCCGCGUGAGUGAAGAAGGUUUUCGGAUCGUAAAACCCUGUUGUUAGAGAAGAACAAGGACGUUAGUAACUGAACGUCCCCUGACGGUAUCUAACCAGAAAGCCACGGCUAACUACGUGCCAGCAGCCGCGGUAAUACGUAGGUGGCAAGCGUUGUCCGGAUUUAUUGGGCGUAAAGCGAGCGCAGGCGGUUUCUUAAGUCUGAUGUGAAAGCCCCCGGCUCAACCGGGGAGGGUCAUUGGAAACUGGGAGACUUGAGUGCAGAAGAGGAGAGUGGAAUUCCAUGUGUAGCGGUGAAAUGCGUAGAUAUAUGGAGGAACACCAGUGGCGAAGGCGGCUCUCUGGUUCUGUAACUGACGCUGAG
rnacentral:rRNA from 1 species